rnacentral:rRNA from 1 species
AGAACGAACGCUGGCGGCGUGGAUAAGACAUGCAAGUCGAACGGGAUAACAUUUGUAGCAAUACAAGUGUUGUCUAGUGGCGAACGGGUGCGUAACACGUGGGCAAUCUGCCGAAAAGUGGGGGAUAGCUCGCCGAAAGGCGAAUUAAUACCGCAUGUGGUGAGGGGGACAUCUUCCCAAAACUAAAGCCGGGGCAACCUGGCGCUUUUUGAUGAGCCCGCGGCCUAUCAGCUAGUUGGUGAGGUAACGGCUCACCAAGGCAUUGACGGGUAGCUGGUCUGAGAGGACGACCAGCCACACUGGAACUGAGACACGGUCCAGACACCUACGGGUGGCAGCAGUCG